GCCGCGACCGUGACGGACAGUCAGUGCAAGAUCGGCACGAAGUCGGGGCUUCAGCAUUCCUGGCACCGUCACCGGGGUUCGUGCGGUACGUGUGAAUCGAAGAGAGCUCUCGUUGAAAUAUUCGCCUCAAAGGAGCUUACUGGUGGGAGAAUGAGGCAAGAUCUACCUUUUUGCAAAGUCAGUGUCACAGUCAUGAUCCAGCAUGGGGUAACCUGUCCUGAGGAAAUCAACUGCCUCCCAGGGUGAAACAGGUUGUCCUGAUGGAUGUCCUCCAUCUUACGGAGCAGCUUUGUUCCUGUUUGCCAUUGAAAAGGCUUUGGAAUUAAGAGGUACCAUUACCAAUAACUUGAUUUUUUAAAGAUCCAGCACUUUGUUUGGAGCACAAGAAUGAUUUGAGGGAAACAAAAUAAGCCUUAAUUACAGCUGGAGCUUAAUUACAGCUGGAGCUAAAGGUCUGAAGAAAGAGCAAGGUGCAAAUAAAUGAGUCAAGUGUGGAGUCUCAGAAGAUUUUCUGUCUUCCAAAUAAAAGUUUUUUCUUUAAAAAAAAAAAA